CCGACGGUGAGGGACGAAAGCUGGGGGAGCAAACCGGAUUAGAUACCCGGGUAGUCCCAGCCGUAAACGAUGUGCGUUAGGUGUAUCGGUGACCACGAGUCACCGAGGUGCCGAAGAGAAAUCGUGAAACGUACCGCCUGGGAAGUACGGUCGCAAGGCUGAAACUUAAAGGAAUUGGCGGGGGAGCACCACAACAGGUGGAGCCUGCGGUUUAUUCGGACUCAACGCCGGAAAACUCACCAGAUAA
rnacentral:rRNA from 1 species